GCCAGGCGUGGGGGUGCUGGCCUGUAACCCCAGCACCCUGGGAGGCUAAGGCAGGAGGAUUUCAAGUUCCAGGCCAGCCUGGGCAACAGAGAGAAACCCUGUCUCAA
rnacentral:sRNA from 1 species